rnacentral:rRNA from 1 species
AAAAGAUGGUUCUGCUAUCACUCUUGGAUGGACCUGCGGUGCAUUAGCUAGUUGGUAAGGUAACGGCUUACCAAGGCAAUGAUGCAUAGCCGAGUUGAGAGACUGAUCGGCCACAUUGGGACUGAGACACGGCCCAAACUCCUACGGGAGGCAGCAGUAGGGAAUCUUCCACAAUGGACGCAAGUCUGAUGGAGCAGCGCCGCGUGAGUGAAGAAGGGUUUCGGCUCGUAAAGCUCUGUUGGUAGUGAAGAAAGAUAGAGGUAGUAACUGGCCUUUAUUUGACGGUAAUUACCUAGAAAGUCACGGCUAACUACGUGCCAGCAGCCGCGGUAAUACGUAGGUGGCAAGCGUUGUCCGGAUUUAUUGGGCGUAAAGCGAGUGCAGGCGGUUCAAUAAGUCUGAUGUGAAAGCCUUCGGCUCAACCGGAGAAUUGCAUCAGAAACUGUUGAACUUGAGUGCAGAAGAGGAGAGUGGAACUCCAUGUGUAGCGGUGGAAUGCGUAGAUAUAUGGAAGAACACCAGUGGCGAAGGCGGCUCUCUGGUCUGCAACUGACGCUGAGGCUCGAAAGCAUGGGUAGCGAACAGGAUUAGAUACCCUGGUAGUCCAUGCCGU